rnacentral:rRNA from 1 species
GACGAACGCUGGCGGCACGCUUAACACAUGCAAGUCGAACGAAAGAAGCGAAGCUUGCUUUUCUGCUCUAGUGGCGGACGGGUGAGUAACACGUGAGCAAUCUGCCUUUCAGAGGGGGAUACCGACUGGAAACGAUCGUUAAUACCGCAUAACAUAAUUGAACCGCAUGAUUUGAUUAUCAAAGAUCUAUCGCUGAAAGAUGAGCUCGCGUCUGUUUAGCUAGUUGGUAAGGUAACGGCUUACCAAGGCGACGCUCAGUAGCCGGAGUGAGAGGUUGGUCGGCCACGGUGGGACUGAGACCCGGCCCAGACUCCUACGGGAGGCAGCAGUGGGGAAUAUUGCAGAAUGGCGGCAACGCGGAUGCAGCCAGGCCGCGUGAGGGAAGAAGGUUUUCGGAAUGUAACCCUCUGUCUUCAGGGACGAAAAAAGACGGUACCUGGGGAAGAAGCACCGGCUAACUACGUG